AAUGUUUGGUAAAACAAAUAUGAAAUUAUAUUUUAACCGAUACAAAUAUUAUGUUAUUCAAUUCUAUCUGUUCAAUAUGGUUACGUUAAAAAAAAAAUUCGUGCUAUUUACGCUCGCCUAACCAAGAAUAACGAUGGGUAUACAAAGCGCGAUCUCGAAUAAUUUGUCAGCAUGAAAAUCGGGGAUUCAACACGUUUGGGUAAGUAGAUAUUUUUUUUUUUAAAUACCUUAUUUGUCACGAGUGUUUUGCACAGACACGCUCUUUUUGACAGAAACUGUCACCGCGGCCCGCGGGAUACGGUCGUUCGGUAAAUUGGCUAUAAU